rnacentral:rRNA from 1 species
UGAAUACGAGACGCUACGGCGUUGAAGCAGUGUAUGUCAUACUUCCGUGAAAAGCUCGCAAGGUCAUAAACAAAUAAUGCCUGUACCAUAACCGACACAGGUGGGUAGGUAGAGUAUACUAAGGGGCGCGAGAUAACUCUCUCUAAGGAACUCGGCAAAAUGACUCCGUAACUUCGGGAGAAGGAGUGCCUUAUUCUAUAAGGUUGCAAUAACAAGAUCCAAGCAACUGUUUAUCAAAAACACAGGUCUCCGCUAAGUCGUAAGACGAUGUAUGGGGGCUGACGCCUGCCCAGUGCCAGAAGGUUAAAGAAGUUGGUUAGCAAUUGCGAAGCUGAUAACUGAAGCCCUGGUGAACGGCGGCCGUAACUAUAACGGUCCUAAGGUAGCGAAAUUCCUUGUCGGGUAAGUUCCGACCCGCACGAAAGGCGUAAUGAUUUGGAUACUGUCUCAGAGAGGGGCUCGGUGAAAUAGACUUGUCUGUGAAGAUGCGGACUACCUGCACCUGGACAGAGAGACCCUAUGAAGCUUUACUGUAACUUGAAAUUGAAACUGGACUUUACUUGCGCAGGAUAGGUGGGAGGCGUUGAGAAUAUUCUUGCGGGAAUAUUGGAGCCAUCGGUGAGAUACCACUCUGGUAAUGUUAGGUUUCUAACUUGGUAUCAUAAUCUGGUCCAAGAACAGUUUCAGGCGGGCAGUUUGACUGGGGCGGUCGCCUCCUAAACGGUAACGGAGGCGUACAAAGGUUUCCUCUGAACGGGUAGAAAUCGUAUCUAGAGUGUAAAGGCAUAAGGAAGCUUGACUGUGAGACCUACAAGUCGAGCAGGGACGAAAGUCGGUCUUAGUGAUCUGACGGUGCUGAGUGGAAAGGCCGUCACUCAACGGAUAAAAGUUACUCUAGGAUAACAGGCUGAUCUCCCCCAAGAGUUCACAUCGACGGGGAGGUUUGGCACCUCGAUGUCGGCUCAUCGCAUCCUGGGGCGGUAGUACGUCCCAAGGGUUGGGCUGUUCGCCCAUGAAAGCGGUACGCGAGCUGGGUUCAGAACGUCGUGAGACAGUUCGGUCCAUAUCCGGUGUAGGCGUUAGAAUAUUGAGAGGAGCCUUCUUUAGUACGAGAGGACCGAGAAGGACACACCUAUGGUGUACCAGUUAUCGUGCCAACGGUAAACGCUGGGUAGCUAUGUGUGGAGCGGAUAACCGCUGAAAGCAUCUAAGUGGGAAGCCCACCUCAAGAUUAGUAUUCUCAUC